UACGUAGGGUGCAAGCGUUAAUCGGAAUUACUGGGCGUAAAGCGUGCGCAGGCGGUUGUGCAAGACAGAUGUGAAAUCCCCGGGCUCAACCUGGGAACUGCAUUUGUGACUGCACAGCUAGAGUGUGUCAGAGGGGGGUAGAAUUCCACGUGUAGCAGUGAAAUGCGUAGAUAUGUGGAGGAAUACCGAUGGCGAAGGCAGCCCCCUGGGAUAACACUGACGCUCAUGCACGAAAGCGUGGGGAGCAAACAGG
rnacentral:rRNA from 1 species